rnacentral:rRNA from 1 species
SUACGUGCCAGCAGCCGCGGUAAUACGGAAGGUCCGGGCGUUAUCCGGAUUUAUUGGGUUUAAAGGGAGCGUAGGCCGGAGAUUAAGUGUGUUGUGAAAUGUAGACGCUCAACGUCUGACUUGCAGCGCAUACUGGUUUCCUUGAGUACGCACAACGUUGGCGGAAUUCGUCGUGUAGCGGUGAAAUGCUUAGAUAUGACGAAGAACUCCGAUUGCGAAGGCAGCUGACGGGAGCGCAACUGACGCUUAAGCUCGAAGGUGCGGGUAUCGAACAGGAUUAGAUACCCUGGUAGUCCGCACAGUAAACGAUGGAUGCCCGCUGUUGGUACCUGGUAUCAGCGGCUAAGCGAAAGCAUUAAGCAUCCCACCUGGGGAGUACGCCGGCAACGGUGAAACUCAAAGGAAUUGACGGGGGCCCGCACAAGCGGAGGAACAUGUGGUUUAAUUCGAUGAUACGCGAGGAACCUUACCCGGGCUUGAA